rnacentral:rRNA from 1 species
GAUCCUGGCUCAGGACGAACGCCGGCGGCGCGCCUAACACAUGCAAGUCGAACGAGAGAGAAGGAGCUUGCUUCUUCGAUCGAGUGGCGAACGGGUGAGUAACGCGUGAGGAACCUGCCUCAAAGAGGGGGACAACAGUUGGAAACGACUGCUAAUACCGCAUAAGCCCACGGGUCGGCAUCGACCUGAGGGAAAAGGAGCAAUCCGCUUUGAGAUGGCCUCGCGUCCGAUUAGCUAGUUGGUGAGG